UAGCUCAGGGGUAGAGCACUUGCCUAGAAAGCAUGAGGCCCUGAGUUCAAGUCUCAG
rnacentral:tRNA from 1 species